rnacentral:rRNA from 1 species
AGAGUGAACGCUGGCGGUAGGCCUAACACAUGCAAGUCGAACGGCAGCACAGUAGGAGCUUGCUCUUACGGGUGGCGAGUGGCGGACGGGUGAGGAAUACAUCGGAAUCUACCUUUUGGUGGGGGAUAACGUAGGGAAACUUACGCUAAUACCGCAUACGCCCUUCGGGGGAAAGCCGGGGACCAGCAAUGGCCUGGCGCUGAUAGAUG